rnacentral:rRNA from 1 species
AUUGAACGCUGGCGGCAGGCCUAACACAUGCAAGUCGAACGAGUGGCGGACGGGUGAGUAAUGUCUGGGAAACUGCCCGAUGGAGGGGGAUAACUACUGGAAACGGCAGCUAAUACCGCAUACCAGCGGAUUUGCCCAGAUGGGAUUAGCUAGUAGGGGGGGUAACUGCUCACCUAGGCGACGAUCCCUAGCUGGUCUGAGAGGAUGACCAGCCACACUGGGACUGAGACACGGUCCAGACUCCUACGGGAGGCAGCAGUGGGGAAUAUUGCACAAUGGGCGCAAGCCUUAUCCAGCCAUGCCGCGUGUAUGAAGAAGGCCUUCGGGUUGUAAAGUACUUUCAGCGGGGAGGCGGUACUCGCAGAAGAAGCACCGGCUAACUCCGUGCCAGCAGCCGCGGUAAUUC